rnacentral:rRNA from 1 species
AUAGCUCAUUACAACAGCCAUUGUUUCUUGGAUCUUACUUUCUACUUGGAUAACUGUGGUAAUUCUAGAGCUAAUACACGCAUACAAGUUCCGACGCAAGAAGGAACGCAUUUAUUAGAACUAAACCAAUCGGGCUUGCCCGUUGUUUGGUGAAUCUGAAUAACUCCGCAGAUCGCAUGGUCUAGCACCGGCGACAUAUCUUUCAAGUGUCUGCCUUAUCAACUUUCGAUGGUAGUUUAUGUGACUACCAUGGUUGUUACGGGUAACGGAGAAUUAGGGUUCGACUCCGGAGAGGGAGCCUGAGAAACGGCUACCACAUCCAAGGAAGGCAGCAGGCGCGCAAAUUACCCACUCUCGGCACGAGGAGGUAGUGACGAAAAAUAACGAGACAGUUCUCUUUGAGGUCUGUCAUCGGAAUGGGUACAACCCAAACCCUUUAACGAGGAUCUAUUGGAGGGCAAGUCUGGUGCCAGCAGCCGCGGUAAUUCCAGCUCCAAUAGCGUAUAUUAAAGUUGUUGCGGUUAAAAAGCUCGUAGUUGGAUCUCUGGUCUUGCCGGCUGGUCUCCCUCAG